AUUGAACGCUGGCGGCAUGCUUUACACAUGCAAGUCGAACGGCAGCACGGGCUUCGGCCUGGUGGCGAGUGGCGAACGGGUGAGUAAUAUAUCGGAACGUACCCAGAAGUGGGGGAUAACGUAGCGAAAGUUACGCUAAUACCGCAUACGAUCUAUGGAUGAAAGCAGGGGACCGCAAGGCCUUGUGCUCCUGGAGCGGCCGAUAUCUGAUUAGCUAGUUGGUGAGGUAAAGGCUCACCAAGGCGACGAUCAGUAGCUGGUCUGAGAGGACGACCAGCCACACUGGAACUGAGACACGGUCCAGACUCCUACGGGAGGCAGCAGUGGGGAAUUUUGGACAAUGGGCGCAAGCCUGAUCCAGCAAUGCCGCGUGAGUGAAGAAGGCCUUCGGGUUGUAAAGCUCUUUUGUCAGGGAAGAAACGGUAGAGGCUAAUAUCCUUUGCUAAUGACGGUACCUGAAGAAUAAGCACCGGCUAACUACGUA
rnacentral:rRNA from 1 species